GACGAACGCUGGCGGCGUGCUUAACACAUGCAAGUCGAACGGAAAGGCCCUGCUUUUGUGGGGUGCUCGAGUGGCGAACGGGUGAGUAACACGUGAGUAACCUGCCCUUGACUUUGGGAUAACUUCAGGAAACUGGGGCUAAUACCGGAUAGGAGCUCCUGCUGCAUGGUGGGGGUUGGAAAGUUUCGGCGGUUGGGGAUGGACUCGCGGCUUAUCAGCUUGUUGGUGGGGUAGUGGCUUACCAAGGCGUUGACGGGUAGCCGGCCUGAGAGGGUGACCGGCCACAUUGGGACUGAGAUACGGCCCAGACUCCUACGGGAGGCAGCAGUGGGGAAUAUUGCACAAUGGGCGGAAGCCUGAUGCAGCAACGCCGCGUGCGGGAUGACGGCCUUCGGGUUGUAAACCGCUUUCGCCUGUGACGAAGCGUGAGUGACGGUAAUGGGUAAAGAAGCACCGGCUAACUACGUGCCAGCAGCCGCGGUGAUACGUAGGGUGCGAGCGUUGUCCGGAUUUAUUGGGCGUAAAGGGCUCGUAGGUGGUUGAUCGCGUCGGAAGUGUAAUCUUGGGGCUUAACCCUGAGCGUGCUUUCGAUACGGGUUGACUUGAGGAAGGUAGGGGAGAAUGGAAUUCCUGGUGGAGCGGUGGAAUGCGCAGAUAUCAGGAGGAACACCAGUGGCGAAGGCGGUUCUCUGGGCCUUUCCUGACGCUGAGGAGCGAAAGCGUGGGGAGCGAACAGGCUUAGAUACCCUGGUAGUCCACGCUGUAAACGGUGGGUACUAGGUGUGGGGUCCAUUCCACGGGUUCCGUGCCGUAGCUAACGCUUUAAGUACCCCGCCUGGGGAGUACGGCCGCAAGGCUAAAACUCAAAGGAAUUGACGGGGCCCCGCACAAGCGGCGGAGCAUGCGGAUUAAUUCGAUGCAACGCGUAGAACCUUACCUGGGUUUGACAUGGAUCGGGAGCGCUCAGAGAUGGGUGUGCCUCUUUUGGGGUCGGUUCACAGGUGGUGCAUGGCUGUCGUCAGCUCGUGUCGUGAGAUGUUGGGUUAAGUCCCGCAACGAGCGCAACCCUUGUUCACUGUUGCCAGCACGUUAUGGUGGGGACUCAGUGGAGACCGCCGGGGUCAACUCGGAGGAAGGUGGGGAUGACGUCAAGUCAUCAUGCCCCUUAUGUCCAGGGCUUCACGCAUGCUACAAUGGCUGGUACAGAGAGUGGCGAGCCUGUGAGGGUGAGCGAAUCUCGGAAAGCCGGUCUCAGUUCGGAUUGGGGUCUGCAACUCGACCUCAUGAAGUCGGAGUCGCUAGUAAUCGCAGAUCAGCAACGCUGCGGUGAAUACGUUCCCGGGGCU
rnacentral:rRNA from 1 species